rnacentral:lncRNA from 1 species
GGUCCGCGAAUUAAGGUAUAUUCUUUUGUAGUGAAUACUUCUCGAAAGGCUAUGAUUUUGUGGGUGUUUAGUUAUGGGUGGUAAUUCAGAAGCCUAAAAUGAAGCUGGUGGAGGAAUGAAUUUAAGAAAAUUCAAUAUGGGUUCUCUUUCCCUGAAAAAAUCUGUUUGUAGUGGCUCGUCCUCGAACAAAAGAGAUCUGAAUAAUAAUGCGAGGAUAGAAAAUUAGUCGAUCACGAAAUUAAUUACAUAAAAAAGAUCAACGAAGCUUCAUUUAUCACCUUGUUGCUGAGACAAAAAUACCUUCUUCAAACGCCACCAUCAUUAGAACAAUUAAUCACGAGAAAUAUUGCUGAUCUUACAAAAGAAGAAAGGGCCGUCAUUUUCAGACCUCUUUCAGACCAUUAUACCUAAAAUUGACUCAACAAUUUUAGACUCUACCCCUAAACUUGGUGAUACCAGGUCCGGUACAAAAAGAUAUUUACUCAUACCUCUGGUACCAAUUUCUGUUGGCUUGUUUAAGCCCAUAAUUUUUUUAAUUUGCAAACCCUAUUGUCAGAUAAAGGCAGCAUGCUUGGAGGAGGAUUCACGAAAAUGUCUUCAGUCGAGUCAUCAUAAAGAAAGUCAUUGCUUACAUCCAUUUAAUUACUUGAAAGGCACUCGAUUGCACUGGAAAGGGACCAAUACUCUGUGAUGGUAUGCCCCGUGUCGCGACGAUACUUGCAAUACUUGUCGUUGUUGCAACCUGGGAUGGUAGGACCCUCAUAGGGCGAGGUUUCAGAAGUUUUUCAGAAUCCCGUAACAAUAUGAAUAUCUCUAUCUAGUUGGGAUCUGACAACUUCGAGGGUUUCUAUGAUGUUACCUGCACUAAGGUCGUGGACCUAGACGGAGUCGACUGGAAAACACUACCCGACGACGUGGCCUGAAUAGCUCAACUUACUCCGACGUAUAGAAACAAGAUUUUCAAUGAUAUAUUUAGUUGUUAAUUAAUCUUAAUUAUAUUAAACCCUAAUUAACAAUAGAUAGACUUAUAUGAGUUAAUUUUAUUUAUAAAUCCAUUUAAACUCAUAUGAUAUAAAAUUGACUUGAUACAUGAUUAAAUGAAAAUAAGAUUAGCUUAUUUAUUAUCAUCAAACAAAUUUUUACAUUGAUCAAGUUAAUUAUUGUAGCAUGUAACUAGGGGUGAGCGGAGACGUGGCGGAGAUUGCGUUCCCCGUCCCCGUACCCGGUCAUUUUGAUCGACGACGGGGAAAUACCCGAGUCAAAAACCAUCCCCGGCCAAGGUACGGGGAUGCGGAUCCCCGACCAAAAUAAUUAAAAAAAAUUUUUUUUUUUUAAUUUAUUUUAAACAAUAAUGUUAAUUACUAAUGUAAUUAAAAUCGAUUUAGUGAGAGUGUGAUUUAGGGUUUAAGGAGAGAAAUAAAUUUAGGGAUUUGAAAUUUCACAUUUAUGAUUUAAAACUUAAAAUUGAAAAUUUAAGAAAUAUUAAAAAUUUAAAAUGUAGGGGGUUAAAUAUAAUUUUUUAUGAAUAUAUUUUAAAUAUAAACGGGUUAAAUAUAAUUGUUUUAUGGAUAUAUUUGAUAUAUAAACUAAUGUAUUUAAUAUAUUAUAUAGGGUUAUUUAUAUAGAUUAUACUAUAUAAAAUAUUAUAUAAGGUUUAAAUACAAUUUUCCGGGUGUUGUCGGAUUUUAAUCCCCAUCCCCUUACCCGGAAAUGACCGGGGAUUUCGGUCGGGGACAGGGAUUUUCCUACUUCGGGUAGGAAAAUCUUCCUCGUCCCCGUAUCCGCCCGGCCCGGUACGGGACGGGUACCGAGUACAAGGACGGGGAAUCUCACCCCUAGUACCUUGUAUUGAUUUAUUCACAUCAACUAAUUUGACUUAAUCUUUGCUUUCAAGUUAUCUUAAUUUCUUAAAAAUUAAUCAACAUAGUGUGAGAGAAACCCAUCUAUCUAUGCAAACUUAAAAGAAAUCCCCAUGGUGAAAAACGUGUAGCAUUUAUUCCUAUCCAACUAAUUUCUACACUUCAAGAUCUCAUGACUCAAUGCAAUCCUACAAAUCUCAACUACAAGAUAUUGAGAUUCAAUGCUUCAGAAAACCCAUGCAAAGAUUUUACAAGUUCUAUUAUAAGAAGAAAGAUUCCCUUUGAAGAAUUUAUGAUGUGUAAGAAUUCCCUUCCACAAUCUCUCUUCUCGAGUGCUUGUGGAAGUUGAAGAAAACUAACUCCCUAUGUCACCAACGUUUUGAAGAUAAGGAGGGGAACACCAAGCACUCAAAGCUAUCACUUACCAUAUUUGUUAAAACUCUCUUUGGUUCAAAUCUCUAGUUCUCAUUCUCUUGCUCUUUCUCAAGCUUUGUGGAAGUUGUUCUCAAGGUAUUAAUUCAAAUAUAUAUCUUAAGUAUUCAGUAUGGUCUUGUACAUUGGCAUUGUACACUAGGAUGUUAUAAAAAAAACAAUUACAAACUUCUUCAAAUAUUUGCAAAAACUGAGUUCAUUACUGACUAAAAGGUGGCUGGGGCAUUAGUGAGACAAAAUGCAUCACAAGGAACUCAAAGUGUUCUUGAUGUAUUCUGAAGGGAUGUCCUUUCAGUAUAAUGGGAUCGAUCCUAAUCUGAUGGAAACCAUAUCUCAAAUCAAGUUUAGAAUAAAUAAUUGAACCCUUUAAUUCCCCUAACAAUUAAUCAAAGGUAGGAAUUGGAUACUUAUCUUUGAUUGUGAGAGCAUUUAAAGCUCUAUAAUCCAGACAUAAUCUAUAACUACCAUUCUUCUUCUUGAGUAAAAGGACUGGAGAUGAGCUAGGUUUAAUCAUGUCUUGCUUCAACAUUUAAGAGAUCAAUUUCUCAAUAUCAGAUUUCCGAAAUUGUGGAUAUAUCUAUAAGGCUUCCUAACAUUUACAGGUUAGUUCUUGGCUCUAGAUGGAUAGCAUGAUCCAUUUACCUCUGAGUUGGAAGUCAACCAGGAUCUUCAAACAGAUCUGUAUUUUCCUGAAUUAUUUCGGUAAUUUCUGAAAUUUUGUCAUCUAGAAUUGUUGUAGUUUCAUUGUUGACUACUCUGUCAUGAUAGCAGAGAUAAGCCUCUUGUAAAAAUUCUGGCCUUCUCUAUUAAAAGACACACUCGGCUCGUCAAAAUCAUAUUUGUCGUCCAAAAGUCUUCAGAGAUUGAACACCAAUUACCAUGUUAGACCCCUUUAUGGAUCAAAAAAAAUAUCCAUUACAGUACUAACAUCCUGAAUCCUAGCUAACUUCCACAUCUUUUCACACAUUUUAUUGUAGACUAACUUUCCACUGUCUGUUGAUACAUGAAAUGGCUGGAUCAUUUGUAUCGUCAACUUCAACUAUUGGGCUACAUCAACUUGAAUAAAAUGAUGGCUAGAUCCUGAGUCAACUAGCACACUUCCUGGAAUUUGAUGAAACAUGUGACCCUUACAGUGUUGAAAUCUAUAUUUCCUUCAAAUGAAUUUAGUAAGAUCUCAGUUCUGUCUCUGUGAAUGAUUGACAUCUUCCAUAAUUUUUUCUUCAUAAUCUUUUAGGUCUUACUGCUCCUCUAUUUCUACCAUCUUAGCCUCAUCAACAGACAAUCUAAAUAAUUUACCCUUCCUGCCCAGACACACAUUGUUAUGGUUUGCAGAGAGUUUUUCAUCACAAUUGAAGAAGGGGCCCUUGCUUCUUCUUUCAGCUCUUUCUGUUGCGGAUAGUAUCUUAGCGGUAAGUACCGUCUCAGUAGAUGUGGGAUUCACUGUUUCAUUCACAACCUCAAGCUUGUUCUAAGGGAUGGUUAUUAUUUUAGCUUGCUUGUAAGAAUAAGGUUUAUAAGUUAAACCUUUACUUGCCCCUUUUCUUAUUUCAAUCAUUAAUGACAUCUCAAAUGUUUCGUGAAUGUCAAUAGAUUUAAUAAAACACCAAUGAUACCGAGUAUAUUGGAUCGGACAAAUGAAACAACUAUACCUAACAAACGAGGGUGCAUCAAAUCUGCGAUUUCAAUCACAGAUAUCCGAAGCAAAGCAUGAAAGAUAUAGACUCCUGAAAUUGAGACUUAGCUUCAUUCGGCGAUGAUAGAUGGUGUGGAUCGAACAAUACGGUCGAGAUCCAAUGGAAUAGUAGCUGCGAAGGCACGAUGUACUUGACUGGAUUAUAUGAGAGAAAUAACGUGAUAGGCAAAGGCCUAUUCAUAAUAGUGUAGAUAUGAAUAUAAAUAGACAAAAUAAUUAAAAUGGAUAUGGUUAUUUAGUUUUGUCUACCAAAUAUUCAAUAAAAUAGAUACUUCAUAUCAAACAUAUGAUUAAAUAAAGUUUUCAUUUAAUAUAAUGAUCAAAGAAAUCAAAUAUUUUUAAAAUGAAAUCCAAAUCUUAAACUAUUUUCUGGGAUUUUAUACUUAAUUGUAUAGAUUGUGAAAAUUAUAUAUAUAACACAGAAGAACACACCAACAAUGCUAAGAAUCCGAAUAACUUAAUUACCAUAGAAUCUCAAAUCCACAAUCGAUUUCCAAAUGAUUACGCAUAUCCUCGUACUUUUGUUGUUCCAAUUCUCGUUAUUGUCUUUUGCACAACAAAUCUACAAUGUUGUCGAUUUUGGCGCUGAUAAUGGAGGUAAUGUAGAUUCAACCAAUGCAUUUGGUGAAGCGUGGCAUUCAACAUGCUCAUCAAAUACCUCAUCCGUUCUUCUUGUCCCAAAUGGUGAAUUCCUACUCAGGCCAUAUAUCUUUUCUGGACCAUGUCAAAGCGAAAAGGUUGAGGUUCGGAUUGAAGGAACAAUUGUUGCUCCGAUAAAUGACAAUGAGAUAGAAAACUCCGAGUAUUGGAUAAAGUUCGAUCAAAUUGAUGGUUUGGAAAUAUAUGGAGGAACUAUUGAUGCAAGAACAGAUGACGUAUGGAAAUGCAAGAGAUCUGGCGGUAAUUGCCCUCAUGGAUCAAGGGUAAGUAAAGUGUUUGAUGAUUAUGUAGAAUUCUAGGUUACUGAUACAAAAAAUACUGAUAUUGAUUUUUUUCAUAUCCAUAUACAUAUCUACAGUCUCUCGACAUCAGUGGGAAAAAUAUCAAAAUCGUCGGAUUAACGUCCAUGAAUAGCAAUCAACAACACAUAAUGAUCCAUAAGUGUGAAGGUGUGGAGGUAUCUGAUGUACAUAUUUUGGCACCAGAAAAUAGCCCUAACACUGAUGGAAUUCACGUUAUGAAGAGUUCAAACGUUCGUAUCAUCGAAACCAGUAUAAAGACAGGCGAUGAUUGUAUCUCAAUUGGUCAUGGCACUAGAGGAUUACAUAUUCAAAACAUUGAAUGUGGUCCGGGACAUGGGAUUAGGUAAUGAUUUUCUCCCAAUCUUAUAUAUAUAAGAUCAAAUAACAUUUAAGACAAUCAAACUAUAAAAAUAGUAUAGGGAGUCUCGGAUAUUAUGAAUGGAGGCGAGAAGAAGUGCAGGAUAUUACCGUGGAUGGUGCUGUGAUCAAAGGUGCUCAAAAUGGGUUGAGAAUAAAAACAGUUGCGAAAGACAACCAUGGUUUUGUUGCAGGAAUUUUUUACAAUAAUAUCACCAUGGUAGAUGUCUUUAAUCCAAUCGUCAUCGAUCAAAAUUAUUGUCCUCACAAUAGUUGUUACAGCUACGAGGUUUUAGAUACAAUCAUCUUGCUACAUAUAUUCUGAUCCAUUUUACGACCAUAUUGUCUUAUUUCUUUGUUCGUGAAUACAGAGGGUGCCCUCUGGGAUAGAAAUCAGAAACAUCAGGUUCUCGAACAUCAAGGGAACUUCGGCUUCUGAAUAUGCAAUGAAAUUUGAUUGUAGCCAGAAUAACCCUUGCAAGGAUGUACAUCUAUAUAAUGUGCAUCUCAUACAAGGCACUCAAUUGAAAAAGAGAGUGCAAUCCAACUGUAAUAAUGUGAUUCAAUCAGAAUCGACCGGCUGCGAUCCAACUUCUUGCUUCUGAUGGCAAACCACAUGUUGUGAAAUAAAGCUUUAUUUUUUAGCAAUUCAACAUGUAAUAUUUUCGUUCUGCCAAUCAAUACAAAAUUAAAACAACAUUAUGCAACCAUAUCGUAUGUAUUGAUCAGGUGGAAACUCUUACAGUUAUGACUCGACGACAUAGAGAAUAAGAAUCGUGCUUUAUCCGUACUCAAUUCCUGUUUUUGUAGUAUAUGUCAGCGUUUGGAUCCCUAAAAUGGGGAGAUCUUGGUCUUAUUUAUAGGAUUUUUCUAUGGGAAUAGUUGAUUGAUGGAUCCUAAACCUAAGUCUUGUAUAUGAUCCCAAACUUGAGUCUGGUCACGGGUCAAUCCGGGAAAUUAUGAACACAAAAUUUUUUGUAAAUUUUAGAUUUAAAAUAUCAUAAGGAUCAGCUUCUGGUGUUAUAAUGCAUAGUAUUAUAAUGAUCUCUUUUUCAUCUCGAGAUUGAGAAUGCCUAGUGCAAUAAGGACUAAAUUAUAAUGCAUAGUGCAAGGAGUAAAUUAUAAUGCACAGUGCAAGGAGUAAAUUAUAAUGCACAGUGCAAGGACAAAAUUAUAAUGGGCAUACUUCAGGUGCACCGUACCUUGAAUACAUCGUCGUGUGCUAUCAAAUCGUGACCAUUAUUAUUUCAUCCAAUAACUAAAGUCGAUCUAAUGGACAAGAUUAACUUGGCACAUAUAGCAUUCACACUAGCUGUACGGCGCAUCUUAAUACUACUGAAAUUAUAAUACCAUUUUUUUCUAAAUAAAAUGUGUGUCUAGUCACGAGCCUUUUAGAUCCCAAACGAUGUGGUUUACUAGGACCGAGCGUACUGUACGUGUUGUUCCUUCCAGGUUCCAACUGUGGAAAAGGCUAAACACCGAUGUGGUUGGGAAUUGAACAUGCUGAAGAGGAGGCCCGCCUUCGUGAACAGGUGGCUCGUCGAUCUCUGCUGAUCUUCAAAAGGUACAAUCCGAAUAAAACAUAGUGGUAAAGGGGGCGACCGAGGAUGUUGAUUCCCAUCGGCAAGCUUUGGAGGAAGUAGACGCUGCUCGCCUAGAAGUUGUGAAGGUAGUUAUGGGUGCAGUCAUGAAUGAGGAUUUUGUAGGGUUUAGGAUGUGCCACACCUUCUCGCUGAUGAGAUGAUUAGGCAUGAGAAGUUCGUGAAGUAUUGAGGUUUCCAGAAUGGGAUUGACCAUUAAUGUUGUGCCAUGUGUAACCUAACCGACCAUUAUUCUUUAAUUUGCUUCGACUGUUGUUCCUCGAAAUACCAACGAGUUAGAGAAGUGGCAAGCUAAAGGAGAACCUCUUGCCCCUGGGUGUUCUAGCACAGUGAAGGUGGCGCUUCUGAUCUCAGUUCAUAUGAGGGGGAGCUUUAACUUUUUGACUUAUGUUUUAUAUAUUCGUUUUGAUACUUGCCUGGUGUUAUUUUUGCCUCUGGCAUAUAGACGCCUUCUGACCCGGAGAUUAUCUAGUACUUCUGCGUCCUGGCUCAGAUUGCUAUAUAGCUGAAGUGAUCAUCGUACGUAUUAAUUUUAAACAGAUCGAUCAACUAUCUAGAUUUAUAAUAAUGUAAUCCUAAAAAGCCAAAUUAAACCUAAGAAUAGAAUCGAAAAUCAAAUAAUCAACUAUGAAACCUAUCUAAUUUGAAUACAAAAAUCCAGAUAUAAAUAAUCUAAACUUUUAUACCAUGAUUGAAAUUGAAAGAACAAUAUGUAAUCUGGACGAAAAUAAAUGAAAAUAUAUGAAAGACCGAUAAACAAUCCUAAAUGAAAUUGUAAUCGAAAUAACCAUUUUUCAAUCAAAGUUCCUUUAUUUACAAGCCGGAGAUUCAACUGAGAUAGCUGAAAAAAGAUAUUUGAUAAGAUAAAAUCCUUGGUCGUUCAUUUCAAAUUAAACUUGAGAUGACAAGUGAAAUCGAUGGACCAUCUCGAGAACUGUUUCAGGGUUAGAUUAAAAAAUUAAAAGAAUGUGUAACUGAUAGAUCGAUGUAUAUUAUAUCAGAUAUCUCAUGAAAACUAAUUCUUAUUUAUAAGUACUAAACAAAUCGAAUCUUAUGUUUAUUCUUUUAUUUCAUGGCCUUCCUUAAUUUAUUCCGAUUCUACCAACUCUUAUUUCAAUCACAGAAAAAGAAAACUCAACUGAUCAUGGUAACUAUUAAAAAAAAAUUGGGUCGGAGUCUCGUUGUUAUCCUGUCUGGUAACUAUAAAAAUGUAUCCUUUAUUAUCAAUUGAAUAUAUGUCGACUAUCGGAUUAUUUACAUUUUAAGGUAUGAAAUCAAUCGAUAUAGGGAAAAUCCAUCAAAAUUGAUAAGGCAACGUCACAAUAUAUGUAGAUUAUGUUGAUCCACCAAGAAAGUUAAUUUAUCAUAAGACAAAAAACAUAACCAAACAUAAGCAGAUUUAAGUGUCAUAUGUAAAUAACCAACCAGCGCAAAGGAGAGAAUACUUCAAAAAAACAAUUGAAUUUACUAAAUAUAACACCAGCAUUGAUCAAUAUUAUUAAGAGAGACAAUUUUCGGGCGACAAAUCCGUUGGCUAGAAGCCUUAAUUAACAUUGGGGAAUCUGGAUAUUGCAUGUGUAAUAGGAGUAGAGUUGCUGAAGUGCAACAGAUGGUAGGAGCAGUAGCAAUUCUCGUGUCCCACUAGACUUGCACAAUAUGUACUUGAAGGUGGAGUUUUUUCGAGGACGGCUGACACACAAGCCACAAAUUGGGAAACGUCACAAUUUUUAGAGUGUGCAGACGGCGGACGAACCCGUCCGUGUUGAAACCCGCCAGACGGAACGGGCCCACCCAUUCUAUUUACCUUACUAGGCCUAUCUGCCCUGGUCUGAUAGACUAGGGGUAUCAUCAACUAAUUUAGAGUUGAUUGUGUAAUGCACAAGGCCAGGGUCUAUCUCUUAUCCUCACAUGGCUUCUCACACACACCGAUCUCUCUCUAUAGUACUUCUCCGAGUUGGAAAAGAUCCCUUCCAUCGGUCCUACAUGAGGUAGAUAUAGUGGUACUAGAUUGGGGCUGCUAGGCCAACCGGAUAUGGCAUUAUGAGCCUGGACCCUCUUAGUAUUCAGAUUUCGUGGAGGAUUUUCACCACUGAUAUUUUUUUUGGUGAAAAAUGAAGAGGAAUAAUAGAUGAUGGAUUAUCAAUGACGGUUAUAAUAUUUUCCUAACAGUUAUCGUUCUGACGGUCUUUUAAUGGCGGAUUUCCGUCACGAAUCACUUUAAAUGAUGGAAAUUAGUAAUUAAAAGACCGUCAUACAAUGUUCACGUGCUUUCUUCUUCUUUCAAUCAACUAGUCAAACAUGUCUGCUCUCACGAUUCUCGAGGAGUUACGACGUGAUGUGGUGCACCAACAUGUACGGUACCGGUGGUUUGGUUCGAGAAUCCGAUUCUUAAUUCAAGGGGAGAAGGCUUGUUCUCUAGCGGCCAUCGGAAGUCAUAAUUAGCUCUAAUCCUAGCAGUAUAAAUUUCAAUAAUCCACCCACCGACCAUCAACAAUUAUCUUUAUUAUUUAUAAGGAGGGAAAUAGUUAGAUAAAUGAUGAGAUAACACAAAAAUUACCCAAAAAAAUAAACAUAAAAAUAGGGAAAUAUUCCAUCCUUAUUUGCGUUAUUGUGCACCAAAAACAUCCACAGCACACGAUUGACAUCCAAUGAUCCCAAUUAUGUUAUGCACUUAAAACUAACUUACGUACGACAUCCAAGGAAGAAGCAUGUCCGGGCAUGAGCCCGACCCAAGAUACUACAAAAAACUAGCGUAUUUCUGGCAGCUCUGGCGGCCACCUCCUGGCAGCCUGGCUGCCGAAAAAUAACACUUAUCUACCGGUAUAAUUUCCCCGUGUAAAUGUGGGAAAUGAGCUGGCGGCCAGGCUGCCGGAACCUUUUUUUUGUUAAGUUAUCAACGACCUGGCCGCCAGCUCAAAUUUUCCCCGCGUAAAUGAGAGAAAUGAGGAGGCGGACAGGCCGCCAGAAAUACGAUGGUUUUUUGUAGUGAGGGGACACACCGAGACAUCAGUCUGAACCCCCAUCAAACCAGAGCCCUCAGAUAAAAAAUGCACUAGUAACCCACCUGGCCCAAGCUAGCAAUGGAGAAGCCAAACCACUCGGAAGGACAAAAUUUUCAGGAGCAACCGAAUAACGAAUUUGCAUUAAAAAGUGAGCUAUUACAGGAGUUAGCUAGUCCAAAAUAAAGACUGUAGAAUAAAUAAAGGCGAAGUCACAAAACGAAAGGAUCAAAAAAAGCGCAGCAGCAAAAGUCCAGCAGUUGGCGAGCGCCCCAGGUGAACGGCCGUGACGAUCAUCCACGCGUUAUGAAGUGGCAAAGAUUAGUCGCAGGUAAGUCGGACAAUGCAAACUGAGAUCAGAGUCGCCGGUCCUGGCGCCUUCGAGCAGAAGUAGAAGGCAGAGCAGCGGAAGGAACCGAAAGUAUUCCAGUAGGCGAGCACCCAAUGGGCUGUUGGAAGUAGGAGCAGUGGGUCCUCGUGGUGACGACGAAACCGCGCCAGCUCCAGUAUCCACUAACACCAAAUCGGCGCCGGCCAGACGAUGAGAAGCCAAUUGACGAUGUACAGAGAGAAGUAAAGAGUUAACGCAGUAACUUUCGGUGACAGCAAGAACCUUAAGUUCAACCUCAGACAAGAUAAGACAUUCUGACCACACGGAUUUCUAAUAAACCUACUCACGACCCAACUCUUCGAGAACUGUGAAAGAAGGCAUGAUUAGCAGAUUUAUGGAAGUGGAAAAAUACAUGUAAAGGAAUUUAAAGGAGGAGUACUGAUAAUACCCUCGUCCACUGUAUAUGGCCCAAGGCUAGCUACACUACAAAAAAAAGGAACUUAUAUGGCGGUCUUUAGAUGGUGGAUUUCCGCCAUUAAUAAUUCAGUUGUUUAGAUGGCAGACAUCCACCAUCUAUUCUUUGAGUCCGUCGAGGAAAGGUUUUGGCUCGACGGUGGUUAAAAUUUAUUUUGAAUAGUGGUGUUUAGAUGGUGGAAAUUCGCCAUCUAAACUAUUCCGUCCAAAAAUUCGAUUUCCCCCCAAUAUUCAGCCCGAUUACCCGAUUAAAUUGACUUAACAUGGCGGACAUCCGCCAUGUUAAGUUUUCGGGAAUUCGGGCGGAAAAAGCCCGUCCAAAAUUCGAUUGGGCGUACUUUUCCGGAUUUGCCGUCGAAACUUAAUGUACCUUACAUGGCGCCAUGUAAGGUUUGGGGUUUAAUAAAAACCCCAAAUCACAAACAGACGCGUUCUCUGUCUCACACUGAAGAAAAUCGCCGACGCUGCCUCCCUGCUGCCCCCGUCGUUCCUCGCCGUUGGUCGUCCUUCCCUUCUCUCCUGUGAAGGUAUGAUUUGUUCAAUUUUUUUUUUUAAUUUAUGACAUCUUCAAUCUUUGUAUUUCAAUGUUUAAACUUUUUCUACAUAAGUUAUCUCCCCUGUGAAGGCUUGCACUCAUAUGUAUUCAUGUAUUUGCUUCUUCUAUUGGCUUGCAAUCACUACAUGUAUUCAUCAUCUAUUCAUUCUAUAUUGGUUUUUAGUCUCCUAUUUUUAAGACUUUUGUUUCAUUUUUGUUUCACUACUUGUUUCAUUUAUGUUUGAAUCUAUCAAUUUAUGUUUUAAUCUGUUGUUUGAAUCUAUUCAUUUCUAUUUCAAUUUGUGUUUUACUUACUGUUUUUUAUUAUUAUCAGAUAUUAUUUAUACAUCGGAUAUGUUUGUCGAUGGUUUGUUUAUUAAGAGAAAAUAAUGGAAACUUUGUUGAUAUUUGGUAUUAACUUUUUUGAUGUUUGUUGAUGUUGAUCGUGAAGGUACUUUGUAUGUCUUGUUUGGGUAUAAUUUUAUUUAUACGGUUUAAUUUUGCAAUCUGUUAUUUGAUUAUCACAAUGAAAUGUACUUAUUUGAUUAUCCGGUAGCCGACGCCGCUUCGAAGGUCGCCUCCGAUAGCCGUCGCCUCCGUCCUGAUUUGAUCCCGUCGCCGUUCUUGGUGAGAACUGAGAAGGGUUUUAUUUUACUUUGUUUUAUUUGAAAAUGGUUAUAUUUUAGAAUGGAUUUUGGUAAGAUUUAGGGUUAGGGUAAGAUUUACAAAUCGUUUUUUAUAAAUUAGUUUUUUUUUAUUGAAAUUUUUUCAUUAAUUUUACUGUUUUAUAUUUAAUUUAAAGUUUAUAAAUAAUAUAAAUAUAUAAUUAAUUUUAAUUAGAUAAUUAUUGAUUAAUUUAAAUAAAUAUUUACUGUUUCUACAUAAUUUAAAUAUUAUUUGAUUAAUAAUAUAAAUUAAUUAAUGUGUUAAGUAAUUAUUGUUUUUGUUGAUUUUUUUUAGGUUUUAAAAAAUCGAAAAUUCAUAAAAUUGUGAUUGAAGUAAGAUUAUUUAAUUGAUCGGUAAGAAUUCUAAUUCUAAUUCUUUAUUUAUUUAUUUAAUUUAUUUUUAAUAAUAUUGAUAGUACAAGGUCCAACACACAGACCAUAGUACUAAAAGACGUAUCCCAAAGUAUCUAAUACGCAGAGGAGGGGGGAGUACUGGUGAUACAGUAUCCCGAACCCGGUCACAACCUACCAGCAACUAGAAGUCCGGAUAACCUAAAAUGAGUUGAGGUACCUAUUUUAGGGAUGGGGAGGUCCCAAGUCGAAUCCUAGGAAGAUCGACUUUCCUGAGGAUCGACUUACCUGGGAUCGACUUAUGAAUAAAGUCGAUCACCAGGAAAGUCGACCCCCAGAAAGUCGAUCUCUGGAAAGUCGAUCUUGGGCCCCGAUCUGAUCAGUUAGGCAGUUAGGCGGUUACUGCCCAAAUGACCAGAUUACCCCCAUAAGAACCACUAUAAAUAGGAGGCAUCCCCCACUCAUUAAAGGUAGGUCAUUUGGAGCAAAAGGAUUCCUAGCGAAGCAGAGCUCUGCGCACUUGACUUCCGGUCCGGUUUCCCGCGGAGUUCCCCGCUUGGCGCUUGCUUGCGCGUCUUGGAGUAUUGGUCGGGUUUCACCCCCAUCAAAUAUGAAAUUAUAAUUAACAAUAUAAAUUAAUUCUCAAUUGGAAUGAUUUAAUUAAGAAUUUAAUAAAUUUGCAUGAAAUUAACAAUUGAAUUAUUAAAUUGAAUAUUAAUAAUUAAUUUACAAUUAUUAAAUAUUAAUUAAUUUGCAUGAAAUGAAAUAAUUUGUUAAUAAUGAAAAUUUUAAUCAUUUAAUUUUAAAAUUAUUUAAUUAAUCUUAAUAAAAUUUAAUUAAUUUGCAUGAAAUUUUAAAAUUGUUAAUAUAUUAGUAAUUAUUAAAUGUAAUGAUUUGAAAUUGUAUAUAUUAAUAAUAAUUAAUUUACAUGAAAUUUUAAAUUUUAAAUUUGUUAAUUAUUAAUGAUUAAUUUGUAUGAAAUUAUAGAAAUCUUAAUUAUUAAUUAUUAAAUUGAAUGAUUUUAAAUUGAAAUAAUAAUCAUUAAUUUGCCAUGAAAUUAAAUUUGAUAAUUAAUAAAAUUAUUAUUUGUUUAAAAAUGAAUGAUUAUUUAAAUAUUUGUUUUAUAAUUAAUUAAUUUUUUAUAUAUAUUUUAAAAAUACCACGUAGAGUGAAGCAAUUACCUCGUAAGAGGGCUCUACCACCCACUCCCCAAGAUGUUUUCCGGUUUUAUCUCCCGGUUCAUCCUUCACCAACACGUGUACGUCUAGCACCGGUACCAGUUCGUCCAGCACCGGCCCCUCAAGUUCCGCAACCAACAACUCCGAAGAAAGUCGUUUAUGAAAUAGAUUCGAAAUAGUUAAUUAGACCUUUAAUUAGAUAGAUUUUCCAAAAAAAAUUGAACUUAAUAUUAAUUGAACUAUAAUUAAUAUUGUAAUAGUCAAUAAGUUUUAUAUAAUUAAUUAUAAUUUGAUAAAAAUUUAAUUUUUUAGGAUAAUGUCGAACUUUAUGAAAGUAUCCGAUAAAGCUUGGAUGAGUUUAGAUCGGUUUUCGAAAGAAUACGGUUUAAGGCUAGAUUGGUUGCCAAAGGAUUCACUCAAAGAGAGGGAAUUGAAUAUCAUGAAACAUCACCAGUUUCCUCGAAUGAUUCUUUUAGAAUCAUUAUGGCUUUAGUGGCUCGCAUACUACAAUCUAAAACUACAUCAAAGGGAUGUUAAAACUGCUUUUCCUUAAUGGGAAUCUCAAUGAAGAAAUAUACAUGAAGCAACCACAAGGUUUUGAAGAAAAUGACAAGCUUGUUUGUAGACAUAAUAGUCUAUAUACGGACUUAAACAAGCAUCAAGACAAUGGUAUAUUAAAUUCAAUGAAAUCAUUUCUUCAUAUGGUUUUUCUGAAAAUCUCAUGGAUCCUAAACAGGACUUCCUCAUAUUAAAGUAUCAAUAUAUGGAUCAAUAUGUAAAUAACCGAUUGUUUUUAUAUAAAUAAGAUAUGAGGGUUGAAGAAAAAUCAUCUAUUCUAUUUAGUCCAAAAGAAGGCAUCCAAUAGAGACGAGUCUCAGGAAUAACAAAAGAGAGGAAAUCUCAGAAGAAAAGCAAAACAAAUAGACAGAGAUCAAGUCUGUACUUCCGCUGUAAUGGAUUCAACAAAAGGUACGUUCGAAUCUGUAAGUACAUUACAUUCUUGAUAUAGAAAUCUUAGAUCAUAAAGUAUGAUAAUUACUAUCAUUAAAGUCUUAAACCUAAUUACCUAAGUUAUAAUUAAUUAAUUAUAAAUCUUUAUAACUUAUAUUUAUAGGGUGUAUAUCAGUUAAGAAGGGUUUUCAUGAGAACCCCUCUUCAUCACAGCUGUUCGUUUUCUUGUAGCACCUGGGCCGUCGAUUAUUUGGACCAGCAACCUGGUAAACAAGUAGCAGGUUGCAUGCAACCGGUUGGAACAAAAUUAAAAAAAUUUAAUCGAUUCUUCUAUAUUAGGAAGCUACUAACGUACAUUAAUGCUGCCUAGGUGGAAGAUUUGAUUACAUGUAUGCACUAGGAUAAUAAAAGAAAUAUUUCUUUCUAAAAAAAAUUUAAUUUCAAUUUCAUUCUCUCUCUCUUAACCUCUAAACUCAUUGUUCCGCAUAUUCCUCCCGCUACUGCCCGCGACGACGUUCGGUGAUCGCCUAGUUUCGUCCGUUUUUUUGCAUCCAGCACCAGCGGCUACUGCCCGCGCCGAUGUCCUCUAGUACCCUCUCACCGUCGUCGUCUGGCUCUGCGGUUCGUCAUCAUUCUGGCGUACGAUUCCAGGUUGUGCUAGAAAGGUCGUCCGUUCAUCUUUAUUUUUCCGACCACCCUCUUCGACGUCUUGUAGUUGGCCGGCGAAGGUUAAUAGGUUUUUUAGCAUUAGCUUGAGCUAUGUUUUUUUCGAGCAUCACUGUUUUUUUUUUCCUCCCUUAUUUUUCCAGUGGUCUUCGUCCUUUGAUUUUCCUGUCCCUAGUUUGAAUUCCGUUUUCUGGGUAGUCAUCCUUUUUUUUCUAUCAUUGGUCUCGCCCAUGACCAGAUUUAGUUUUAAAAAAAUCGAAAAAAAAAUCAUGGCCCAAUCGGUGUUUACAUAAACGUUGUCCAUUGAAUUUUUGAUGCAAUAGACGUUUGCAGUUGCCUUGAAACAGUUGCAGAAUACUUGUGACACAUUGAAACAGAUGUAUCGAAGGAAUGAUUAAACCAAAAAUUAUUGGCAGAAAUAUAAAAGCGUGUUGGGCUAAGUGCAGAUAUUAGCAGAAACGCAUUACAUAAUAGCAGAAGUAUACCAGACAAUAUUAGAAGAUGCACACUACAUAGUAGCGUAGUAACACCGUAAUAGCGGAGGCAUACUACAUAGUAGCGUAACCGUAAUAGCAGAGUCAUACUAUAUAGUAGCGUAAGAACGUAAUAACGGAGGCAUACUUCAUAGUAGCGUAACCGUAAUAAAAGAGUCGUACUAAAGAGUAGCGUAACAACGUAAUAACGGAGGCCUACUACUGAGUAGCGUAACACCGUACCAUCAGAGGCACACUACAAAGUAGCGUAACACAACAAUAGCAGAGACAUACUACAUAGUAACGUAACACCGUAAUAGCAGAGACAUACUACAUAGUAGCGUGACACAGUAUUAGCGGAAGCAUAAUACGAACUAGCGUAAGAACGUAAUAGCGGAUGCAUACUACUAAGUAGCGUAACACAAUAAUAUCAGGAGCAUACUAGAAAAUAGGGUAAACGUGAUAGCACAGUCAUAAUACAUAGUAGUGUAACAACGUAAUAGUACUACAUAAUAGCGUAACACCGUAAUUGCAGAGGAACAUCACAUAAUAAUAGAUUAUCAGGUAACACAUAGAAGAGGCACACAAUAUAGUAGCGUAACACAGUAAUGGAUUAUCAGGUAACACCAUAAUAGCGGAGGCAGACAACAUAAUAGCGCAACCACGUAAUAGCGGAGACACACAACAUAGUAGCGUCACACAGUAAUAGCGGAGGAAUACUAAAAAGUAGCGUAACACAGUAAUAGCGGAGUCAUAGUACAAAGUAGCGUAACACCAUAAUAGCAGGGGCAGACUACAUAGUAACGUUAUACCGUAAUAGCGGAGGCAUACUACGUAGUAGCGUAAUACUGUAAUAGUGGACGCAUACUACAAGAUAGCGUAACACGGUAAUAGCGGAGGCAUACAACAAAGUAGCGAAACACAGUGGUAUCAGAAGCACACAAACAUUUCAGUACAGAAAGUCAUAAUAGCAAAAAUACAUAUUAGCAGAAGCACAAUAUGCAUUACCUAUGUAACAUUGGACAUUAGCGGAAUAACAAUAGAUAUUAUGGGAGUUCGGAGAAAAGGGGUAACGACGUAAGUGGUUAGAAUAGCGGACGCAUACUACAAGGUAGCGUAACAAUAUAAUAGCGGAAGGAUACAACAAAGUAGCGAAACACAGUGGUAUCAGAAGCACACAAAAAAAUAUCAGUACAGAAAGUCAUAAUAGCAAAACUACAUAUUAGCAAAAACACAAUGUGUACUACUUAGGUAACAUUAGAAAUUAGCAGAAGAACAAUAGAUGUCCAAGUUGAUGUCCAAUGUCAUGCAACCCAUAUUCUCCGGUCCACCAAGUUGAUUAGAGAAAUAGGCAGCCUACUGUGAUACUGAAUAUUAACAUCAGCUAAGGAUGAAAAUAGUAUUUUGGAAGUAUGAGAUAUUGACCGAUUUAUUGGAAGGUAACGAAUUUUUGUGGGGGUGGCAAAUGGAUGAUUAUGAUCUAAAUUUACAAAAUCAGUGACGCACUGAUCAGACCUGUCUAUUAUUUUAAAUUUGAUACUUGCCAAGCAACUACAUCUAAAAAUACCAUUCUUCCGUCUAUUACCGUUGAUUGGUGGAAGUAUUAGAUUGGGACUACUGCCUUGUUUAGAACACAACAACCUUUUCAUUACAAGAAUUUUAUGACCAGUUUGUUUGUCCAAUAUAUUAUGCGUCGAUCCUAAACGAACAGAAAAUCGGGUAGAUGAUACAAAAUCGUAGUAGGAUUGAACAGCCAUUUCAUACGAAGGAAAAACCUCACCUACAAUAGUGAAUGGUUUACUGGAUUGAAUGUAACCAGAAGAUCCAUUUUCAUUAUUAGGAGAUGUUGGAUAUCCACCAGUAGAGAAAAAUUUUCUUUUCAAAUGAUUGUAAGGGGUUUUAGCAGUACCACAACUUACAUUAUCGGAAUGAGCAGGAAUUUGAACAAAGGAAUCCACGAUAUCAGCAGAGGCGGAUUGAACAUUCUCUGAAUCAAAAAAAUUACAGCGUAUGUUAUCAGGAUCCAAGGAACAACAAACAUUGACACUGGAAUCUAUAGGAUUAACAGUGGUCUGACAAUGAGGAGAAUUGAAUUGGUAAUUCAUACUAUUUGGUAUUUUAGCAGUUCCGUAACUCAUAUUAGCGGAGGAUUCCUUAAUUUCAGCAGAGGUGCAUUGGACAAAAUCUGGCUGAACAAUGUUACCUGCAGGGGCAUCAAGAUCCAAGGGCAUUGAAAAACCAACGUUGGAAGGUUUAGUAUUGGCAUUUGUAUGACAUUGAGGAGAAUUAAAAUGAAAUUUCAAGCUAACGUUGCAGGAUGUAUUUGUGUGAUCGUAUGUAAACUGUUGUGAACGAUAUGGAGGAGGGGUCACAAAAAUUGAAUUGGUGUUGGGGGAACUUACAGGCUGGUAGGUCGAUUUUGAUUGCCAAAUGAUGUUGGAGAAGCCAUUAUAUGCUAUGGAGGAAGAAAAUAAGCAUUUAAUGUAAGAAAAGUUCUUUUAGACGGAGAUUUGGCAAUCAACUACAGAAAAUUUGAAAAAGAGGUAGACGGAAACAAUUUUAGAUGGAGGGAAAGAGAGAGAGUGUAAGAGGUAGAAAAGAAAUUACAAGCAGAAAUCGUUAAAAAAUUCGGCAGGGAAGGAGGGGGGACGGAGAUACGCCGGAGGAAGAAAAUCUGGAAAAAUCCGGCAAGGAAGGAGGGGGGACGGAGAUACGUCGGAAGAAGAAAAUCUGGAAAAAUCCAGCAGACGAGGGAGUUAGAACGCGGGGAGAAAAAAUGAGGAAGAAGAUACAAAAAUGAAAUGUUUGAUAGAAAGGUAGAAAUGGAAAAUGACGACAGCUUUUAAAAAAAAAUUUCCAAAUCAAAAAAUGUAAUAAAAGGAAUGUUACGUGAGUGAUGGAAGAAUUAAUGAAAAUGGAAUAAAAUAAUUGAGAAAAUGGAAAAAGGAUGACCUGUUGCAACAGGUAAAUAAUGGACGGUGAGGAUUGUUCCGAAAAAACGAAGGGCAGAGAUUAAGUUCUCACGUAAGAACCCUUCUUAACUGAUAUUCUUUGUAUAUUUAUAUUAAAUCUUAACCAUAAUCCUAACACUGACUCUAAAGUUAUUCGGAUUAUUCGGAUUAUCCAGAAAUCCAGAUAAUUUAUACGGAUUCGGAUUAUCCGGAUAUCCGAAUAAUUUAUUCGGAUUCAGAUUUUCAAAUCCGGAUUUUAUUCGGUCGGAUAUCCGGAUUCGGAUACCUGCAUAUCCGAUCCGACUCCGACCGAUAUACAGGCUUACUCAUAAUGCCUUAUCCGGUUGGCCCGGCGACCCCAAUCUAGUACCACCAUAUCUAUCCCAUGUGGGACCGAUGGAAGGGAUCUUUUCCAACUUGGAGAAGUAUUAGAGAGAGAGAUUUUCAGCUUGGAAAAUUAAAAAAAUACCACCUGUAGGUGAUUUAACAAGACCACAUAGUAUAUUAUAAAAUUUAUCAGGUGAGAAGGCCUUAUUUUCUGACAAUGAGAAAGAAGGCUAUCUCAACCUUCCAAAUUUCGAAAAUCAAUCUCCACCCUCCGUUUUCUACCGGUUGAAAAACUUCACAACACGUGGGUUGCUUUAAUGUUAGGGUUUAGGGUUAGCGUUUGCAACUGUAGUUUUUUAAUAGUUUUUUUAAGAAUAGUUUACACCUUUCUCUCUCCGUCUUAUUAUUUUUUUCUCAUCUUUGUUUUUUUGUCACUAUUUUAUCAUCAUUUAAUGUUUGUGACACAUAUCACCCUCAUUCCAUCAGCUUUUAUAUAUGUCUCCAUCGUUCUUCAUUCAACUUUGUUUGUUUGAUGCUUAUAAUUCGAUAAAAUAAGGCUUCUUCUUGUUUGAUACUAAUAAUGUCAAAAUUUUAAAAAUUUAUCAAAUCAUGUAAUACUUCAUUCUUUUUAUUUUAGUUUAUUCUUCUUCUUUUAAUUCAUUCUUUACUCAUCUUCCAUCUUCUUUCGAUCUUAAGUUAUUCAAAGAGCAUUUCAAUUUUACUCCCCUCAAUCUAGUCUUCUUCUCUUGGUUUUUUGUGUACAACUUCCUCUUUGGUUUUCUUCAUUCAUAACAUCAAUGUAUGUCUCAAAAUUCAUUGAUUAAUGUUAUUGAUCAAUCAUCACCCAUGUACGUUGUAAUACUUGCACACUCACUACUGAUAUUAUAUUAUCUCUUGGUUCGCUCUUAGACGAUCACAUUCAAUAACAGUUCGUGUUGUAGUAAUGUUAUUACGUCUUCGUUUAAUUAUCAUACCCAUGUACACGGUAGUGCGGGCACGAUCACUAUUAAUGCUAUUACGACAUGGUUCUUUCGUAGAUGAUCACAUACAAUGCUAGUUCGGAUUGUAAUAAUGCUAUUACAACUUUGUACAAUGAUUUAACCAAUGUACUUUGUAAUGCGUGCACAAACACUAUUAAUGCUAUUAGGACUUGCUUCUUUCGAAAAUGAUCACAUUCAAUGCUAGUUCGUGUUGUAGUAAUGCUAUUGCGUCUUCCUUCAAUAAUCUAACCCAUGUAAGUGGUAGUGCGGGCACACACACUACUAAUGCUAUUUCGUGUUGUAGUAAUGCUAUUACAUUUUCGUUCAAUGAUCAUAUCCAUGUACGUGUUAGUGCGGGCACGAUCACUACUAAUGCUAUUAGGACUUGAUUCUUUUUAAGAUGAUCUCAUCCAAUGCUAGUUCGCGUUAUCGUAAUGCUAUUAAAACUUCGUACAAUGACCUAGUCAAUGUGUAUGUGGUAGUGUCUGCACACACACUACUAAUGCCAUUAGAACUUGAUUCUUUCUAAAAUGAUCAUAUAAAAUGCUAGUUUGCAUUAUAGUAAUGCUAUUACAACUCCGUGCAAUGAUCUAACCCAUUUAUGUGGUAGUGCAUGCGUGCACACACACUACUAAUACUAUUAUCUCUUGGUCCGCUCUUAGACGAUCACAUUUAAUGAUAGUUCGUGUUUUAGAUGCUAUCACGUCUUCUUUCAAUGAUCUAACCCAUGUACGAGGUAGUGCGUGCACACACAAUAUUAAUGCUAUUAUCUCUUGGUUCGUUCUUAGACGAUUGCAUUCAAUGAUAUUUCGUGUGUUAGUAAUGUUAUUACGUCUUUAUUCAAUGAUCAUACCCAUGUACGUGGUAGUGCGGGCACGAUCACUACUAAUGCUAUUAGUCUUAGUGUAUACGUGCACCAACACUACUAAUGCUAUUACGACUUGUUUUUUUUUAGAUGAUCUCAUCUAAUGCUAGUUCGCGUUAUAGUAAUAAUAUUUCGACUCCGUGUAAUGACCAAACACAUGUAUGUCGGAGUGCAUGCACAAACACACUACUAAUGCUAUUACGACUUAAUUAAUUAUUUCUAAAAUGAUCACAUACAAUGCUAAGACUACGCCAAAGUAAUGGUAUUAAUAUUAAGACUUUGUACGAUGAUGUAACCAAUGUAUUUAGUAGUGCGUGCACACACACUACGCUUUUAGGAUUUGGUUCUUAAUUUUUAAGAUGUUCGUAUUUUAAUAAUGCCAUUACAUUUUCGUGCAAUGAUGUAGUCAAUACUGCACAUUUGAAUGACAUCUUUCCUACACCAAAGCACAAUCUCUCGCAUAAUUAUGUAAUUCAUGGUUGUAAGAACAUAUAUUCUGUUGUCUUGAAUUUUUUUGUAUGAUGCUUGUGAAAAAACCUCUACUUGCCUACUUAAUGUGAUUUAUAAUGGUCUAAUAAAUGUUUAUAAUGUAAUUAUGUUUCAGACAAAACAUCUACACAAAACAAUCAAUUUUUUAUUCAAAUCAAUGACAUAAUAUUAAAUGUUUUCGUGAAAAUGCAAAAAAAAAAAUUAAAUGUUUUCGUGAAAAUGUCUCUUAAUGAGAAAUAAUAUUUUUCAAUUUUAUUUCAGUCUUCGCCAUCUUGGUUUGCCUUUAACAGUAACCAUUUACUAGCCUCCAAAGCUCUGUUUGGAGGCUUACCCUUACAUUUUUUCUGUAGUAUUCAUUAUAUGUUUAGCAUUAAAAAUUCCAUUUAUAUUAUUCAAAACUAUUUAUUAAUAAGAACAUACCAUUUGGAUUGGGUGCACGAAUUAUAAUUAUGUUGUCUCUUUGAUUUAUGUUGACUCACUUUUACUUUUCAAAUGUAGGUUUUCAUAACUUACACUUAUGUCGACACGACAUGACUGACACGACAUAAAAUUCGUGUCGACACAACACGAACACGACAUUAUUUUAUAAAACUUUACUAAUUUUCGUGAUCAAUUGAUCUAAUUUGCUGAUGAAAUCAGUUGAACUCUAAAUCAUUAGAACUUCCGAGCCACGUGCGUGAUAAAAACGUCUCGUGAAAUUCUUGCGGACUUGACCCAUAAAAGAUUACUAUAUUGUGAUAAAUCCAUUCAUGUUAGCUUACAUGUGCAAGCUAAGAAAUGGUCAAAGAUUUUGCACCUACAUCAUUUAAUCAUCUUCCUCAACAACAUUUGCUUAACCACUUUUAGUAAAUGCUAGAAAAUCAUGUAUAUGUAUUAUAUAUAUGCAUACAACUCCAAUCUUCAAACAAUAACCAAUCACUCUUUACAUUUUCUGUGUUCUAGGAUUCACAAAUCACAAUGGGUGUGUCAUCUUCGACCUCCGUGUCUCUGAUCAUGUGUAUUAUUCUGGGAGCGAUGUUGCUGCUUUCCGGAGCGCCGUCUGCGCACUCACAGAGUUGUAACAUGCAUUUCCCAUUUUGGGGCUUGUGUGUCGGCCGUCCUUAACAAUACCCCGCCUUCAAGUACCUGUUGUGCAAGUCUAGUGGGACAAGAGAAUUGCUACUGCUCCUACAAGAACACACCAAACUUCAAUCACUACAUAACUCCUUCCAUCGAGCAAAUGUUUUCAAGCACAUGCAAUAUCCAGAUUCCUCGUUGUUAAGACGCUUAUAGCCAACCAGCCAGCCGACUUGUCACCUGAAAAUUGUCUCUCUAUUUCUCUCAAUAAUAUGCAAUAACUUGGAGGAGGAGUAGUAAUAAUAAAGCUUUGGGCUUAUUAUGUAACUCUAUGUAUUAUGUUGGAUUAUUGUUGCUGGUGUUAUAUUUAGUAACUUCAAUUGUUGUUUUGAAGUAUUGUCUUUCCUUUGUACUUGUUGGUUAUCUAUAUAUGACACUUAAAUCUGCUUAUGUUUUUUUUUAUCUUAUGAUAAAUUAACUAUAUCUUGGUGGGGAUCUACAUAAUCACCAAGGUUGCAGACGUUGCCGUUCAAUUUUGAUGGAUUUUCUUCAUAGUUUCUUCUUAAUUAAUUUCAUUGCAGAUUUAGCUUGUUCUUCACAUUCAUUUCUUCGGUAUGUUUUUUUAAAAUAUUCUCAAUUUCAUUUAGGAUUGUUUAUAGGUCUUUCGAUCAUAUAUAUUCAUUCAUUUUCUUCCAUAUUACAUAUUAUUCUUUCAAUAUCAAUCAUUGUAUUUGAUGGUGUGUGGGCUCACAAUCGGAUGCUCACACACAACUUUCUGGACUACUCUUCUCAAUAAUGGUCACCCCCCUAGACCAGAGUAUUGAUGUGACGGUUGAUUCAAAAGACUUUCAACACCGCUAUAUUCUUAAAAAGGCGUUGUUGCAUCUUUAAUGGUGACGGAAAUCCGCCACCAAUACACAAGAGAUGGUGGAGUCGCAAAAGUAUUGGUGAUGCAUUUCCUCCAGAAAAAAGUUUUCGCAAAAUUUUCUAAAUUAAAUUUCAUUGAAUUGAAACGUAAAUUUAGAACAUAUAUGUUUGCUCCGCCCAGGUCUUCGUAAAUCGGGUGGAGCACGAACAGGAUAACCUUUCCUUCGUAUCCGCCUCGGAAAAUAUGACUAGGGUAGGACAGGGCAACCGGGCAAAGGUAUGAGUAAAUAUCUUCUUUGAAUUUAUUAUUCUAUAUGAUCGCUAUUACAUGGAUUUUAUCAAAUCGAUCUUUUUUAAAUAAAAUAUAUAGUUUAUCACAACAAGAAAGCGUAUCUAAUAUAAGUCCAAAAACGGCCACUACAUCUUGGUCAUCUAAAUUUCUACAAAUAUUACUCAUUCUCUUACAACCGUUCAUUCCAUGUAAUAAAAAAAUUUAAAGACGAAGUGGACGGUUAGGAUAAUCUAUAUUUGAACUCACCAAAAAAUGACUCAUCUGAAAAUUACUCUAUUUUAUUAAUAAAUAAUAAUUAUUAUUAAUCUAUAGGUACAUUUUAUUAUUUUACGUUUAUUAUAUAGUUAUAAUUAAUUUUACCCUAUAAUUAUUAUUUUACCCCAUUAUUUUAUAUAGAACUUAAAAGAUUCUACAUAAAAAUAUUAUUUUACUUUUAUUAUAUAUUAUAUAUAAUAUAUAAUAAUUUAUAUUUUGAUAGACUUUCCUGAAUUUUCGUGUAAUAAUUUUUUUACCAAACUUAAUUGUAUAACCUAUCAAUUUUUGUUAAAUUAAGCAUAAUAUUAAUAUAUAAGAAACGAUUCACGUAUGAAUUUUGAGAUAUUAUAUGAAAUAUCUCCAAUCCUGCUAUUAAAUAUUUUAAAACCAAUGGUUCUUUUGAAAUGAUUAAAUAUAAGAAAAAUAUGAUACACAUAUUACAAUAUUUUGAAUGGACGACUCAGAUUUAAAUAACUCAUACUAUCUCAUUUAAACUAUUUCAUCUGAAUCUCGUUUAUACAUAAGUAUACAUGAUCAGUAUUGAAAAUCGUAAUAUAAAUUAAAAAGAUAAAUUAUAUAUUUUAAUACUAGAAUAUAAUAAUAUAUAAUUUAUAUUUUUGGUCCACGAAUUAAGGUAUAUUCUUUUGUAGUGAAUACUUCUCGAAAGGCUAUGAUUUUGUGGGUGUUUAGUUAUGGGUGGUAAUUCAAAAGCCUAAAACGAAGCUGGUGGAGGAAUGAAUUUAAGAAAAUUCAAUAUGGGUUCUCUUUCCCUGAAAAAAUCUGUUUGUAGUGGCUCGUCCUCGAACAAAAGAGAUCUGAAUAAUAAUGCGAGGAUAGAAAAUUAGUCGAUCACGAAAUUAAUUACAUAAAAAAGAUCAACGAAGCUUCAUUUAUCACCUUGUUGCUGAGACAAAAAUGCCUUCAAACGCCACCAUCAUUAGAACAAUUAAUCACGAGAAAUAUUGCUGAUCUUACAAAAGAAGAAAGGGCCGUCAUUUUCAGACCUCUUUCGAUUUACUUAUUUCCUUCUUUUCUUACGAUUUCGAUGCCUCUAUCUCUUUC